ACGACGCUGGCGGCGUGCCUGACACAUGCAAGUCGGACGGUUCUUGUACCUUCAAGCUUGCUUGUUGGUGCAAGGAUAGUGGCGGACGGGUGAGUAACGCGUGAACAUCUACCCAUUGGAGGGGGACAACCCGUCGAAAGGCGGGCUAAUACCGCGUAAGCCGCGAGGUGAGAGGCUGCCUAUUGGUGGCCGCCGAUGGAUGGGUUCGCGUCCUAUCAGCUGGUUGGUGGGGUAACGGCCUACCAAGGCGAAGACGGGUAGCCGGUCUGAGAGGAUGGCCGGCCACACUGGAACUGAGACACGGUCCAGACUCCUACGGGAGGCAGCAGUGGGGAAUAGUCUACAAUGGUCGGAAGACUGAUAGUGCGACGCCGCGUGAACGAUGAAUCCCUUCGGGGUGUAAAGUUCUUUUAUAUGUGAGCAGUGCUUCUUAUAUUAACAGUAUGGGGAGAGAGAUAUUAGCAUAUGAAUAAGCAACGGCUAACUCCGUG
rnacentral:rRNA from 1 species